rnacentral:rRNA from 1 species
UGACUUGGUGUAAAAAACUCCGGUGGUACAGGAUGGACCCGCGUCUGAUUAGCUGGUUGGUGAGGUAACGGCCCACCAAGGCGACGAUCAGUAGCCGGCCUGAGAGGGUGAACGGCCACAUUGGGACUGAGACACGGCCCAAACUCCUACGGGAGGCAGCAGUGGGGAAUAUUGCACAAUGGGGGAAACCCUGAUGCAGCGACGCCGCGUGAGUGAAGAAGUAUUUCGGUAUGUAAAGCUCUAUCAGCAGGAAAGAAAAUGACGGUACCUGACUAAGAAGCCCCGGCUAACUACGUGCCAGCAGCCGCGGUAAUACGUAGGGGGCAAGCGUUAUCCGGAUUUACUGGGUGUAAAGGGAGCGUAGACGGUAUGGCAAGUCUGAAGUGAAAACCCGCAGCUUAACUGUGGGACUGCUUUGGAAACUGUUAAACUAGAGUGCAGGAGAGGUAAGUGGAAUUCCUAGUGUAGCGGUGAAAUGCGUAGAUAUUAGGAGGAACACCAGUGGCGAAGGCGGCUUACUGGACUGUAACUGACGUUGAGGCUCGAAAGCGUGGGGAGCAAACAGGAUUAGAUACCCUGGUAGUCCACGCGGUAAACGAUGAUUACUAGGUGUUGGGAGGCUAGAGCCUUU